GUAGGGUGCAAGCGUUAAUCGGAAUUACUGGGCGUAAAGCGUGCGCAGGCGGUUUUGUAAGACUGUCGUGAAAUCCCCGGGCUCAACCUGGGAAUGGCGAUGGUGACUGCAAGGCUAGAGUUUGGCAGAGGGGGGUAGAAUUCCACGUGUAGCAGUGAAAUGCGUAGAUAUGUGGAGGAACACCGAUGGCGAAGGCAGCCCCCUGGGUCAAAACUGACGCUCAUGCACGAAAGCGAGGGGAGCAAACAGGAUUAGAUACCCUGGUAGUCCACGCCCUAAACGAUGUCUACUAGUUGUCGGGUCUUAAUUGACUUGGUAACGCAGCUAACGCGUGAAGUAGACCGCCUGGGGAGUACGGUCGCAAGAUUA
rnacentral:rRNA from 1 species